rnacentral:rRNA from 1 species
AGCGAACGCUGGCGGCAGGCCUAACACAUGCAAGUCGAACGAAGUCUUCGGACUUAGUGGCGGACGGGUGAGUAACACGUGGGAACGUGCCUUUAGGUUCGGAAUAACUCAGGGAAACUUGUGCUAAUACCGAAUGUGCCCUUCGGGGGAAAGAUUUAUGCGCCUUUAGAGCGGCCCGCGUCUGAGUAGCUAGUUGGUGAGGUAAAGGCCUACCAAGGCUACGAUCAGUAGCUGGUCUGAGAGGAUGACCAGCCACAGUGGGACUGAGACACGGCCCAAACUCCUACGGGAGGCAGCAGUGGGGAAUCUUGCGCAAUGGGCGAAAGCCUGACGCAGCCAUGCCGCGUGGAUGAUUAAGGUCUUAGGAUUGUAAAAUCCUUUCACCGGUGAAGAUAAUGACUGUAGCCGGAGAAGAAGCCCCGGCUAACUUCGUGCCAGCAGCCGCCGUAACAC